CCAAUAGCGUAUAUUAAAGUUGUUGCAGUUAAAAAGCUCGUAGUUGAAUUUCGGGAUUGACACAUCGGUCGUGCCUUAAGGGGUAUGAACUGGUGUAGUCAAUUUCUCACCUUCUGGAGAACCGCGAUGCCCUUAAUUGGGUGUCGCGGGGAACCAGGACCUUUACUUUGAAAAAAUUAGAGUGUUUAAAGCAGGCAUUUUGCUUGAAUACAUUAGCAUGGAAUAAUAAAAUAGGACGGCAUGAUUCUAUUUUGUUGGUUUCUAGGAUCACCGUAAUGAUUAAUAGGGAUAGUUGGGGGCACUAGUAUUCAAUUGUCAGAGGUGAAAUUCUUGGAUUUAUUGAAGACUAACUACUGCGAAAGCAUUUGCCAAGGAUGUUUUCAUUAAUCAAGAACGAAAGUUAGGGGAUCGAAGACGAUCAGAUACCGUCGUAGUCUUAACCAUAAACUAUGCCGACUAGGAAUCAGACGAUGUUAAUUUUUUAAUGACUCGUUUGGCACCUUACG
rnacentral:rRNA from 1 species